UACGUAGGGGGCAAGCGUUGUCCGGAUUUAUUGGGCGUAAAAGGCUUGUAGGUGGCCACGCCAAGUCGGAUGUGAAAUCUCCCGGCUCAACUGGGAGGGGUCAUUCGAUACUGGCGGGCUCGAGGCCGGUAGGGGGAAGUGGAAUUCCCGGUGUAGUGGUGGAAUGCGUAGAUAUCGGGAGGAACACCAGUGGCGAAGGCGGCUUCCUGGACCGGUUCUGACACUGAGGAGCGAAAGCGUGGGGAGCGAACAGG
rnacentral:rRNA from 1 species